AUUGAACGCUGGCGGCAGGCCUAACACAUGCAAGUCGAGCGAGCGGCGGACGGGUGAGUAAUGUAUGGGGACUGCACGAUAGAGGGGGAUAACUACUGGAAACGGUGGCUAAUACCGCAUACUAUCGGAUAACCCAUAUGGGAUUAGCUAGUGGGUAAGGUAAUGGCGUACCUAGGCGCCGAUCCCUAGCUGGUCUGAGAGGAUGAUCAGCCACACUGGGACGGAGACACGGCCCAGACUCCUACGGAGGCAGCAGUGGGGAAUAUUGCACAAUGGGAGCAAGCCUGAUACAGCCAUGCCGCGUGUAUGAAGAAGGCCCUAGGGUUGGAAAGUACUUUCAGUCGGGAGGCGUUACCGACAGAAGAAGCACCGGCUAACUCCGUGCCAGCCGCCGCGGUAAUUC
rnacentral:rRNA from 1 species